GCCCUGCAGUGGCACACACCAAACUCCAAGUUUGGAGACGCACCCCUAAGGGUGCCGGGGCUU
rnacentral:tRNA from 1 species